UAUGCAGGAUAAAAUUUUUGGUACUAAGAGCACAAGAUCAUCAGAGGCAGAUAAGGAAGGAGAAUUGGUUCACCAACACCCUGAUGUGAAAAGUGACGAACCCUAACCUGGCACAUCAAUGAAAUUCAAAAUUAGGUUAUGGGUUGUCAGGACUAUUAAAGCAAGCAGAGCUCUUGAGAUUGAGGAUCCUUAGAGUUGGUGACAAGAAAAUUGUUGGUGUCAUGAAGGAAGGAUGAACGCCAACGUUAAAAAUCAACACCAACUGAUGGGUGUUUGGGCUUUACUGAGUCAAGCUAAUGACGUGAAAGAAGCGCUUGCUGGGAGGCUACCCAGUUUCUAACCUUGUUUCUGAAUUUUUUUUUCUUGUAUUUUGUUUUGAUUUGAUUUUAUUCGAUUUUAUUUGAUUUUAUUCUUUAUUUAUUUUUUUUUUUGGUUAUGCGCUGCUUCUGAUGGCAGUAAUGAUAGCAUCUACUGAGGGAUGCUAGUAGAAUUAGGUAUCUACUGAAGGAUACAUGAAGGUACACCUACUGAUGGGUGACGGUAAGUUUUGCACCUACUGAUGGGUGCGAGAAAGGUUUGGGUCAGGCUCGUGACGUUAAACAAGCGCUACGUGGGAGGCAACCCAGUUUUCUAAACUUAUCUUUUUAAAUUAUGUUAUAUUUGCUUCUGUUUUUAGAAUAGGUAUUGAAGUACUUGGUUGGACACUAUAUCUGAUGCAGUGGUUUGAUAUUAAUUUUGCAUGAUGGGUAUUGCUUGAUGAUGCUUUGAUAUUGAUGAAGUUCAGAUUGCACAAUAUGCUGAUAUACAGGUGGUGGUUCACAAGAAGAGAAAUUCUUAUAUGUAUGAGAGUGAUUAGGUGAAAUCUAUCCCCAAC
rnacentral:lncRNA from 1 species